rnacentral:misc_RNA from 1 species
UUCUUUAGAGGGAAAGAAGAAAUCUGUGGAUCUUAAUGCUGGUGCUGGGUGUUAAAAAAUGUAGCAGAGCAAAUGCUUGUUUUAGGCACCACUAAUCCUAAUUAAGGUAUAAUUAAGCUGGAUUUGAGCCAAAUCGGUUUUUUGUUCUAAGAUUUCGUUUUUCGGUUUGCUAACGCAUAUGCCCCUGGCUGAAGGGCCGAGAUUUGCCCGCAGUCAAAACAAACCGAGAGAGGACUGCUGC